CUCGUCUGUGAGAGCAUUAAUAAAGAAUAUUUCUACUUCGCGUAUUUUUAUGUCUGAAAAUAUAAAUUUUCAAAUGAGUAGUGUUACCAUUGUUUACUACAUUUCCAAAAAAAAACCGUCUUCCAAGAAAUCGGGGAAAAGCAACCGCCGAGGACGGAUCAUUCUUCACGACGACAAUCCUGUCUCUCGCACAUCGACUGAAACAACUGAAUUUUUGAGCACUCAAACAUAGAUUUUAUGAGUAAGACGUCAACGUUUUUCGACACCUGAUGUGACGGUUGCUGCGUUCAGAAGGCAUAUUUUGAGGAUACCUCAAUUAAAUUGUCAAAGUGCUUUGAAAAGUGGUGAUAGCGAUUCGAUGAUUGAAAUUUGUUUUUUUCUAUAAUCCCGAAAUAUAACAAUUGACUUGUUCGACCUUGGGAAUUGUCACCGCAGGCUCUGCCAAAAAAAGGCCUCUAAGGGAAACAGCCACCCCUUAAAAACUAUUUGAUAUUUUUCCACGAAAUUUCGCACAAACAUUGUUAAUAAAGUGUACUAUCAGAAAAUAAAAACAUUCGUGUAAUGAAA